rnacentral:rRNA from 1 species
AGGACACGGCUGGCGGCGUUGCUUAACACAUGCAAGUCUACGAGAACGAGGUAGCAAUAUCUUUAGUAAAAGUGGCGUACGGGUGCGUAACACGUAAGUAAUCUACCUUUGGGUUCGGAAUAACUUCGGGAAAUCGGAGCUAAUACCGGAUAAUGCAGCGGCACCGCAUGGUGAUGUUGUUAAAGUUUGUGUAAUGCCUAAAGAUGAACUUGCGUCUGAUUAGCUAGUUGGUGAGGUAAUGGCUCACCAAGGCUGCGAUCAGUAGCUGGUCUGAGAGGAUGAUCAGCCACACUGGAACUGAGACACGGUCCAGACUCCUACGGGAGGCAGCAGUGAGGAAUAUUGGGCAAUGCCCGAAAGGGUGACCCAGCAACGCCGCGUGGAGGAUGAAGUUCGUAAGAUUGUAAACUCCUGUUAGAGGGGAAGAAUAACUAAGUUUGGAGCUUAGUAUGACUGUACCCUCAGAGAAAGCCCCGGCUAACUACGUG